rnacentral:rRNA from 1 species
UACGGGGGGGGGCAAGCGUUGUUCGGAAUUACUGGGCGUAAAGGGCUCGUAGGCGGCCAACUAAGUCAGACGUGAAAUCCCCAGGCUCAACCUGGGAACUGUGUCUGAUACUGGAUGGCUUGAAUUCGGGAGAGGGAUGCAGAAUUCCAGGUGUAGCGGUGAAAUGCGUAGAUAUCUGGAGGAAUACCGGUGGCGAAGGCGGCAUCCUGGACCGACAUUGACGCUGAUGAGCGAAAGCUAGGGGAGCAAACGGGG